CUUCAAGGUGCUGCUCUCUUUGCAAACAACUACUCAAACACACUACACCUUUUUGUUUUUGCAGCUUUAUCACCUAGAAAUCCCUUUCAGCGAAGAGACCUGAGACGCAGAUCUCUCCAAACAGUCCUGCCAUGUUACUGUAUUUUUUAAGUGAUGAUGGAACCAUGUUCAGAGGUGACAUCCCUAGAGGUGUAAGUUUCACUUUACAUCUCAAAUAACUUAAGCAAGCAUGAUCAUACCUAUUUUACAGAGGAAGAAACCUAAGGUACAAGAAGUUAUGCUUAUAUUGAUGAGACUUAUGCAGGAUCACACAUUCAUGCAGAGCUUAGCUCUCUUGAAUCUUGGUCCUCACCACUAUGCAGUGGACCAUAUUUUAUCAGGGCACUUCGUCUGUGAUGGAAGACCUCUACCAUGAGACCUGAAAGACCUGACCUUCAAUGUGACUGAUCUGAUUGAAACAGCAGGAUGAACUAUCAUACCUUAAGAAAACAAGGUGGCCAGGGAUAAAGCCAUGCCACAGAGCAUGCAGUGAACUCCACUUGCCAGAAAACACUGGUAAAUUCAACACACUUCCCAGAAGUACAACACUCAAAGAAAACCCUCACAAAGAUUCCAAAGUACUCACUGGGUUC